GCCUUCGUGGUGCAGUGGUCAACACGUUCGACGUGUAACCGAGAGGUCCGUGGUUCGAUUCCCGGCGAAGGCG
rnacentral:tRNA from 1 species